CGCACCUUGCGCUCCUUGGUAUUCCGAGGAGCAUGCCUGUUUGAGUGUCGUGAAAUUCUCAAUUCUUCUCUUUCUUAAUUGAAGGGGGAUGAAUUGGAUUUGGGGAUUGUUGGUCUCUGUAUCGACUUCCCUUGAAUGCAUUAGCUGGAGUUUGACUUUGCAGCAUAUAUGCGGUGUGAUAAUGUCUUCACUGUGUAGCUCAAGUCACCUGGCUUCAAACCGUCUUCUGUGAGGACAAUUUUGACAAUCAGACCUCAAAUCAGGUAGGACUACCCGCUGAACUUAA
rnacentral:misc_RNA from 1 species